UUUGCACGUAUGACAGAGAGCGUGAAGGCUUGAUGAGUCGUGAUGAAAUCACUUCUUAUUUUAUGCGAGGUAUUUCCAUCUGCUCUAAACUAGGAUUACUGCACAACUUCCAGGAGACCACUUAUAAGAAGCCAACUUUCUGUGAUACCUGUAAUGGCUUUCUUUGGGGUGUCAUUACAG